rnacentral:rRNA from 1 species
ACCGUAAAAGUGAAGAAACUUUAUUUUUAANUUUGGAAAANNNUUUACANNNAGGAAAGAUAUGUUUUUUUUNGGAGGUAAAAUUCUGAAAAAANUUACUUUUCCAUUAANNUGAAGUUUCAGAAACUUUAGAANUAAAACUAGGAUUAGAUACCCUAUUAUUAUUAAGUGUAAAAAAAUNUAGGUAGUAGUAGAUGACUUGAAACUUAAAGAAUUUGGCGGUAUUUUAAUCUAAUCAGAGGAACUUGCGUUUUAACUCGAAAUUACACGUUUUAUCUUACUUAAAUUAAAGUUUGUAUAUCGUCGUAAAAAUAAAACUUUAAAGUAUAUAUUUAAUUUUAUUAAANUAAAAAAUUACAGAUCAAGGUUCAGCUNAUAUUUAAGGAAAACGUGAGUUACAGUAUUUNAGAAAGUAGAUGAAUAAAUUCUUNNGAAAGGNNGGUUUUGAAAGUGGAUUUGGAAGU